ACUCUAAUGCUGACCAACUGGGGAAAAGUUCAGCUUAGGGUUUAAAACCCCAAAGCUGACUAAAGGAAAAGUUCAGUUUAGGGUUUAAAGCCCUAAUUCUGACUAAAAAUGGAAAAGUUCAGUUUAGGGUUUAAAACCCUAAUGCUGACUAAAAAUGGAAAAGUUCAGUUUAGGGUUUAAAACCCUAAUGCUGACUGAAGGAAAAAGUUCAGUUUAGGGUUUAAAACCCUAAUGCUGACUGAAUGGAAAAGUUUAGUUUAGCGUUUAAAACCCUAAUGCUGACUGAAUGGAAAAAUUCAGUUUAGGGUUGUAAAACCCUAAUGCUGACUGAAGGAAAAAGUUUAGUUUAGGGUUUAAAACCCUAAUACUGACUGAAU
rnacentral:lncRNA from 1 species